rnacentral:misc_RNA from 1 species
UUGAAAUUUUAGAACAGUCAGUCUUUUUUUUAAUAGGUCUUCUGUUCUGUGUAUGAGGACUUCUAUACAACUUUUUUUUCCUAGGAAAAGUUAUUUAUACGAUACAUUUAUUUCUUAACGUUAUGGAUGUUUGCUGUAUCAUCUUGUCCUAUUACCUCUUUACUCAGUAGUAUAUCAAUGGUUAGGUGGUAUCAAUCCAAACAAAACUUCAUUUAGUGUUUUCUCCUGAUCUUUUUCCAUACAUAUGUGCUGUGUUAGAUAAUGUGACUUACAAUACAUGUAUGUAUUUGUUAUAAUUGAGUUGUAAUUUUAUUUUAUUUUUUGGGCUUUAAUACUUAGAAAAAUAUGCAUUAUGUUUAUUUACUGGUUUUCUUUAUAAAGUACUUGUCUCUUCCAAGAAAGGACCCAGGGACAUUAACUUUAACCAAAUAUAUGGGGGCUUAGCUACAAGUAGUCUUCAAAGAGAAUUAACAUGUAGUACCCCGGUAAAUGCUAAUGGAUUGUAUUUUCCCUAGAUGUUAGAAGUUGAUUGUACUGUUUUAUUGUUUGCGAGCAUUUCCCUUUAUUCUAUCUUGGUUUGUUUUGUGAUACAUUUAUUUUUAAGUAUUUUUCCCCUGUCGAUCUGUCAGAGAAAGAAAUAAAAAUUAUUAAAACAUG